ensembl:lncRNA LINC01500 long intergenic non-protein coding RNA 1500
AUAGCGCUGCCGCAGGUCUCGGGGCUGGUAGUAGCGCUGCCUGCAAACCAGCACCAAGGCUGCAAACGAAGCCAGAAAGAUGGUGGCCAGCACACCUAUGGCAACUAUCACCACGGUCUCCAUGCUUCCGGGGAGCUCCUGACUCAGUCCCGUUCACAUCGUCCUCAUGGGCUAAGGCUGCUGGAAGUGGCAAACUGGGGGAAGAGGAUGGCAGGAGCUAGGUUCCUCCACGACACCUCCAGAGACCUGAGGGCCUCAAGCUGCAGCUCCGGGGCACAUCCCGCUGCGCUCCCACGACGGCCCCGCGGAUGGCAAAGUCAGCGCCUGAGUUCCAUGCUAUAAUCAGAAAUAUGUGGCACAUUUUGAACAAAGGAAAUAUAUACCCAACAAAGUGUUAAAAUGGAGCUGCCAACCAGACAAACCCUAGAAAUAUGUAGCCACUUACAGGCAGAACACAACUACAUGUGUUCCCAAUGUGGAAGGCAUUCCGGAAGUGUAUGCAUCCACAUUUCUACAUGAGGCAUCGCCUAUGCAGGCAAUCAAAGGAUGUUGAUGGAUAAGUGUUUCAGGCAGAAUAAUGGCCCUCAAAGAUGUUGACACCAGAAUCUUCAGAACCUUUGCAUAUGUUACCUAACAUGACAAAAGGGACUUUGCUGAUGUGAUUAAGGUUAAGAACUUUGAGAAGGGAAGAUUAUCCUGGAUUAUACAGGUCGACGUUUAUUUCUUUCUGAACUUUCCUGGAGGAUCAUCGGCCAUACUCCAGCAGAAGGGUGGAUUUGAAAAAAUAACGUUUCCACGGCAACAGUGGCAGCAAUUCAAAGGAAGACGUUGGAGAAUUCACAUGCUAUUUUAGCUGGCUCUGUGAUUGCAAUCACACAAAUCAUUACAUUCCAGCGAGAUCCCAUCAACAGAAGGUUUUUCCAUUUCAGUCUGUCAAGGUAAAACAUUAUCUUUUCAUUUUCUGUAUACUCCAGGAUAUCAAGAAAUUAUGGAAUGUAAGCUAUACUUACAAUAGCAUUUUCUAAGUCUACCUUGAUGGUCAGAGGUAAGAAAAAGAGAGAGGAAGAGAGCUUUUUUGCUCUCAGUUACAUUAAAA